rnacentral:lncRNA from 1 species
CUUUGUUUAGAAAAAUCUCUUCAAAAUUGGAAAAAAAAACACGUUUUAAAUCUUCUUCUACACAGGCAAGCGUGAAACUAUUUUUUUUUUUUUUAUAAUGUCUGUUGUACCACUUGAUGGUGAUAUUACAAGUAUACUUCAACAUUCCAAAAUCUGCAAGGGCAUCGUUGCAGUUGUGUACAGCAACACCUUAAAAGGGGAG